UAUCAGACUUGUAGAUGAUCGUUAUUAUUGUCAUUAUGCUAUUUACCAAAAAUUGGAUAGUUUCUCUUGAAAAAUAUAAAUAAAAUAACCCAAUACAGGAGUGAGAAGUGACGAAGGAGAUCAAGGACUACGAACAUCAUAUCGAGCCGAGAAGCAAACGCAUUGUCUGGAAAAACACUGACUGAGGAAAAGGUUUAAUUCUAGUCAAAGGCUGAAUUUAAAGAGGACUUUUAAAAAGCUUACGACUAUUGGAUGGAAUCCAAUCACGUCUUGCAGAGUCUCGCUGUACAAUUGGAAGGGAUCCGGAAAUUUGCCUGGCCCAAAAGUAAAAAAGACAAACGGACUUGCAAAGAUUCUAUUGAUCCGAAAGAAGAGCAUAUUGUAAUCAAAUACCCCAACCCGCAUUCCCUGAUGGAACUACAGUGGAGAAAUGGGGCUUCUUGCACACGAAGAACAAAUGCGUAAAAUACUGGUGGAAUGGGGAUACUUCAGUUAAGAAUUACUUUGAUUCGGAAGAGAACUGCUUGAACACCUGUUUGCCGGAUGCUAUGAAAAAUGUUACUAUAAUUCAGGGGGUUUGCGUCUGUCGUUGUCCAAGUUGCAAUUCCAACAAUAUAUCCCAAAAGGAAAGCGCAAAACAACCAACGACACCGAAACCCACAAAAUCUUCUGGAAGCAUAUUUGAUUUUCUAAGGGUUCCAUCGUAAAUUUGAAAUUUCAUUAUUAGUAUGAAACAUCGACAACUCGAUAUGAAUAAUCUAAUUAUACAUACACACUCUGUAAAUCGUCGAAAUAAAAUAAUGCACAUUUGCACAUACACCAGUACUAUUGCUUACUGAGUUUCACAUUGUUAAUACGUCGCUGCAAAUUUAUUGCU